GUUGCCAUCUGUCAGCUGAAGUGUUCUGCACAUUCACUGUUUGCUCAGCAUAACACAGACCAGUAGUAUUUGUCAGUAUGAGUUCCUGCACUGUGCCAAGAUAUGUGGUAAUCACCCACUGAAUGGUACCUUUCUAAAAGAGUCAGUGUUGUCUUAAACCACUUCAAAGUGAGCUCAAAAGCUUGCCUUUCUGUUCUGUGGUGUCUUCACAUUCUGACUCCAAAAACAGACAGCUUUUCUUUAAAAAUUCAGACCAUAUUAACUCUAUAAGAAGUAAAUACUUGUAACUGUGUUGCUCAGUUCAGGCUUUGUGACCUUGCCAGCUGCAAUCUGAAGACAUUUGUCAGAAUUCUAGUGCUAUAUAUUUUUCAUCACUUGCAGUAUUUCACCAGUGGCAUUAACCAGUUGGCAAUUUUCUCUCCAGUUCAUUUAUUUAUGGCAAAUCUGAAGGGAAAACAUUUGGUACCACUGUCCCUGAGAUCUCAAAUGCCACAAGCACAUGGAGGUAUAAUUCAGAUUGUCUUCAGCUGUAUUUUUCCCUCCUGUGGUUCCAAACUGUCACAGAUGGAAGGACAUUUCAGACUGUGGAGUUUCCUUCAAACAAUCCAUAUAUCUGAUUUUCUACCAGUAACAGCCAGACUGAAGGGGAAGGAUGGAAACUAUAGUAUGUUCUAGCAUAUGUUCACAUGGACACAGCUGUUAACAGAAGUGAAAAGGAAUUAAACAAUAUCAGUGACUGGAAGUGGGAUUGUGAAAUAAUCCUCACCACAAUUAACAGCCUGGGACAACUGUAAAUUUUUCCAGCAAAGAAAAAGGCGACAAAACAAGAAGAAAUUGGCUUCAUAAAAAUCCUUAUGGUAGCCUUAGUUCUCAGUUGUUUAAAUCACUGAAAUUUUGAUGAGAGAAUGGAGAUGUCACAAAACGUUGGGGAUCAGGAGACUUAUGGAUCGUCAUUCUUGUAGCAGCACCUGAAAUGAUGGGGUCUCCUUCAGAGCUACAUGAUGGUGCAGCUUUGCCAGUGGACUGGGAGAAGAUGGCACCUGAAGUGCAUUUCAUGUUCCAGUUGGGAGAAAAUUCAGAACAGAGAAGAAAGGAAUGCAAGUAUACAUCUUUCAAAUCUGACACUGAUGAGUUAUUUAAAUCAAUACUUGCCUGUCAAAAAUUAAAUUCAUGAGGGAACUUUUAAGAACACGUUCUGCCAAAUGAGAGGACCUAUAGCUGCUAUCAUCCUUCAAGAAUGACACUUGAAUUUUAUCUAAUUGUAAUACUUCCAUGUUUAAUUACUAAGUGUAACAUCACAUGCUCAUCGACAAAUAAAGAUUAAA
ensembl:lncRNA